rnacentral:lncRNA from 1 species
AAUGUGUUAGUAAGAUUCGACGACUACAUUUCGUUGACCGACUUCAAUCUCUCAUUAAAAGAUGAUAAUCUGACAUCAAUAAUCCACAUAAUUUCUGCUCAAAAUACAUCAUCAAUCACAAAACAAGUUGUUAUCCUGAUCAUAAACCCAAUUUUUCUAAUUCAUCAUACAUUUUAGUCAACUGUAUCACACCUGAUGUAGCCUCCUGCUUACGCCCUAGUC